UGGCUCAGUUGGUAGAGCAUGGUGUUUGCAACACCAGGGUUGUGGGUUCAUUUCCCAC
rnacentral:tRNA from 1 species